UAAAAAAAAAAAAAAAAGAUGCAAUUUGGACAUGAAUUUUACUAAUUAUUUUUCAAAGUUCUAAACUUCUAAUAUUAUAACUUCUAUUUUUGGAGAGUAUUGGCAUAUGAGGUGCGCAUGUUUGUUUAUGAAUCUACACUUGUAAAGCUUAUGCUUCAUUAUUGGCUGGUGGCUAUAAUUUACAACAUGAACUGCUGGAAUCAUUGUUGAGCCAUAGUUGGCCUUAAUCCCAAUAAUCUUUUUAAACUGUAUCAUCACCUUAAGGCUCAUAGUUACCCAGUCUAAAUCUGUAAAAGGUGCUUUCAUGCAGAAUUUAUUCUUGGUAGAUUGUAGACUGAUGGAUUUUGUUGUGGUUAAAUUUUUUUUUCCUUACCAGUAAUACCAGCUAUAUAAAUGAUAGAUAAACUUGAGAUCCAGGAUUUAUUCAUUGACUGGGAUCUGAGUGUGGUAUUUUCUGUUCUAUAAUUCUUGUUUCAUGCUGAAGAGGGUGUAAUUGUUGGUAUGCUUUUUUAGAUAUUUGGUUUUUAGUGCUGAAAUAGAUUUUUCCUUUUCAAUUGUAUACAGAACAGCAGCAUGUUCAGACUAA
rnacentral:misc_RNA from 1 species